rnacentral:antisense_RNA from 1 species
AGCCCAAGGAAGAAACCCUGCUAUGGGACUGUGGCUGCUCUGGACUGCACAGGCUGCCAGGAAGGAAUGGUGGAGAUGCUUCUGGUGUUAUAUUCAGAAAAGCUUCAUUGGAAAAGUAGCUAUUUUGGCGGGCUCUGCUUCAGCUAGCCAGGAAGACCCCCUCAGUGGCCUGUAUCUGACUCUCUUCUGGGGAGAACCACCUGCUCUGUCUAGGGGAAUGGGAUUCUCUGGGGGAAACUUGGAUUUGCUGAAGGAAGGGAGCAGUUGUGAACAGAACUCAAGCUCAUGGAGAAUUCCCAGCUUCCUUUGGACUCACUACCUUCCCUUCUGACCACAGGCAUCCCCACUCUUGGAAGUGCAGACUACAGUACCUCAGGGAGCCACUACUACUCAGCAUUGAGGAUUUCCUGCCAACCAAGUGCUGUUUCACUCUUCACAUCUGUGGAUGAGGCUAGAGUUGUGAUUUUCCAACUAUGCUCUGCUAUGCACUGGGGCUCAGCAGAAGUCCUCAGGGUAUGCGGCUGAGCCACAAAAGUUUUGUUGCUAUAAAAUGUGUACAAAUAUGUAUUUUUAAACAAUCUUGACUAGAAAGUGUGUGCUUGGGAUGUGUGCAUCAGGGGAAGAGAAUGGGAAGGGGAGAAGACAAAUUAAUUCAAGUACUUUGGAAGGACAAAUGGGUAAUCAGCUUGGCAGGUGGGCCAGUGGGCAGAAGCCAACAGUGAGAUGAUCAUGAACGAAGACAGUAGCUCCACUAUACAGAAGAAAGCCCAUGAGCAUAGCGUGCAGAUGGACCAGGUACACAUGUGUCUUGACAGGCUCCCACUGUCCAGUCACAAAUGAAUAAGCGAGAUAGAGCCAAGACAGAGGUCCAGUCCUAGGAGGCCCCAGGGUCCCCUCCCACCAGCCAGGGUCAGAUCCAGUGGGGUUUAUCAGCCAGAGGGGUGUGUGUCCAUCUGAAGUACAUGGCAGAGAAGUGGUCCUUGUGGGUUAGGAAAUCAGAUUUCUGGGAACUGUAAAAAUUCCCAAAAUUAGUCUUAUUUUCUGGGAGGAAUAAGGAUCAUUAAUAGUUUCAGAAUUUGAAUAAGGUGACUGCUUCUUUGUACCAUCGUCAGGAAAGAUGGAAAACUAAGUUUUAAACCACAGCAUGAGGAAUUUAAAGCAGCUAUGAAGACGGUUAGCCACUGAGGAAAGUAACCAUAGGGCACUGCCAGUUAUAGAGCAGGAGGGGGUCCUGCGUGGCUGCGCAGUUGGCAGACAGGGUCGUAGCCAAGGGACCUUCAAGAUCCCUUCCAGCACUGGGAUCUGAUGAUCCUAACCUCACUGGCUCUGCUGGGCCAGCUUCUGAUACAAGCAGUACCCGAGUCUUCCCUGUGGUGAGGAUGUCCGUGGAAACCCUUGUUCUUUACUCAUGGUAUAUGCUCAUCAGAGUAUAAUCUCUUUGAAGGCAAGAGUGGGUGUGGCCCCCUAACCCUGAGUGCUGCACAGUGCCUAAGCCAGUGCUGGGGUUCCCCUGGGCAUGUAGAGUUACAACUGAACAUCAAACAUCCUCAGAUAUAACUCAGAUAAAAUGACUGCCCCUGCCUGCUUUCCUUUAAGGCAUGGUUAAUGGAAAUGUCAGAGCUCAGAAAUUGAGCCCUGGGCCUGGCUUGUAUCUGAGGCAGCUCAGAGCCAAGCUGUCCUCGCCUGGAUGGGAGGCUGGCCCCCACCAUUUAGGGCAGGGUAGGAGGCAGUCUGUCGAUGACGACAGGGAAGGAGUGUCUGGAUGGACAUGCAGACUGCCUGACCUGACCUACUUGGCUACAGGAAAUAGUACAUUCCUUCUUGGUUCUUUUAAAAAAAUAUGAUUAGAAACCCAAUUUUAGUUAAUGAAAGUGACUGUUAAAAUAGUGCCUGAGUAGUAUGUUAAAUCUAGCCUGUAACUGUCAGAUUCUGGUGUCUCUCAUUUUCUCAUAACAGACAAGGAAGGAAGCCUGGCUGACCACCUAAAAUGCAGUUAUUUUCCUGUCCCCAAAGUUCACUUCAACGAGUUUAAUGGGAAGGGCAAUGUCUUCCAUAGGACCCUUUCCAGUCUCCUCCUGAGAGCUGUGUCUUCCCUGGGGCACACUCCAGGGCUGGCUCCUGCCUUCACAGCUGUGCUGUCUGGCUCUCCCUGCAUGCAUGCAUGCAUGCCCAACCUGGAUUUCUCCAGAGGCCUUGGGCCUGGCAGCAGAAUCUAGUGUGUCCAGCUAGGAAGAGCCCCACAAAGAUAAGGACAUGGAUAGAUACGGCUGGAUGUCCAGAUGGCCGAUAGCUGAGCCAUUCCUUCAUGGCUUUGUCAGUUUCCUAAACUGUGUCAGAAGCCAGUCCUCAGCCAUAGUGGGGGAAAGGGGUGAAUGGUUUUUCUCCCUCACUGAUGCUUCAACUUCAAGAGCUCCCUUUCUCCUCACAGUUCUUCCAGCCCCCAGGAGAAGGGUAUGUGGAUCAAAGGGAGAAAACCCAUGGUACGUUAUGCCUGCCUUGAAUGGACUGCGAGCUGGGGUUGCCAUCUUGAUCAUUUGGGAGGUAAGGAGACUCAUCACAGCCUCAGAAUGCCUUCCCAACUCCUUCAAAUAAUACUGACUCUACCAAGAAAACUUAAAUCAUUUACUACCACUGACACAUUAGACACAUUAGAAAUGUUUUUUCUGAAAAUUUUAAAACCUCUGAAAAAAGGCUGCAAAUCUUGGCUGAACACAAAGCAAAAGCAUUUAGUUGACUCAGAUUCACAGCACUGAUUUCUUUUUUAAAACAAUUCAACAAUAUGUGUGAAUACUGGGCAAAAUCAGGGAGUAAUGGCUAUGAUGACUCCUGAGACUUCAGUAUGUGAAAUACAUCAUUAACAUCAAUGGUCAGGCUCCUAAGCCUGGGCCAUGCUUCCUGAGUAGCUGAGCAACCAUGCCUUACAGGGCUGUAGCAUGCACAAUAUCACCUUUCUCCACCCCAGCUUGCUUGCAAUCUUCAAGCACUGGUUUCAAUGUCACAGAUAGAAAAAUGAGAUUCAUAGGACACAGGGUACCAUAUAGUCACCAUUCUAAAGUACCCCUUUUGAAACAUUUCCUAAAAUCCAAGUCAAAAUUAAUGUCUAUAACAUUUUAAAUGUGCUUUUGUAAAAACUGUGUUAGUUUCAUGAUUUGCCUUUUUUACACUAUAUGCCAUGAUUUUCAUCUGACAGUAAUAGCCAAUAAAAAGCCAGAAAGUAAUGCUUCAAAA